GUCUAGGCUCUGCAGUGCUAGUCAUAAUAUGGCGCACAGCAGGCACAGACAGAGCCAGAGGGAAGCAUAAGGCAUUGCGAUGGGGAUACUAAUUCCUUGGAAGCAAUCUGUUUGAUAGCCUUACACCCAAAAGGAGAGGCGCCAGAUGCCCAGGGAUAAAGACGGAGUAGAGGCUGAGGGAACGGUCAACCCAUGACUGCCCCAAUU
rnacentral:sRNA from 1 species